GAUGAACGCUAGCGGCAGGCUUAAUACAUGCAAGUCGUGGGGCAGCACAGUCCGCCGAAAGGCGGAUGGGUGGCGACCGGCAAACGGGUGCGGAACACGUACGCAACCUUCCUACAGGCGGGGAAUAGCCCAGAGAAAUUUGGAUUAAUACCCCAUAAAAUUUUAAGACGGCAUCAUCUUAUUAUUAAAGACUUCGGCACCUGAAGAUGGGCGUGCGGCUGAUUAGGUAGNGGUCGGGGUAACGGCCCGACCAAGCCUGCGAUCAGUAGCUGAUGUGAGAGCAUGAUCAGCCACACGGGCGACUGAGACACGGGCCCGGACUCCUACGGGAGGCAGCAGUAAGGAAUAUUGGUCAAUGGACGCAAGUCUGAACCAAGCCAUGCCGCGUGGAGGAUGAA
rnacentral:rRNA from 1 species